GUGCAUAAAAUUUGGGAAUGAAUAACAAAUGACCUUUUUAUUUAAUAAAACAUAACCGCUGCAGCGCUGGAAGGUGUAAGUGUCAAAAUUAUUGUUGUUUUCAAAUAUUCCACAUUUCUUAUAUCUGAAGUGUAUGUAGUAUAAAAGCAAUUUUCUGAAAAUACUUUGAAAAAACGCACAUAAACUGCCGAUCUACUCUAUUUGUAAUUUUUUAGUUUAUAAUUGAACAGUAAUGGAACGCGAAAUCGAAAGGAUACAAAUAGAUGAUCACAGACGCGAACAAACGUUUCAUCGUGAUGCAGCGCAACGAAGAGAGAUGUUGGAUGAAUACUUUGAGAAUCUACACAGGAGAAUAUGUGAGGAAGCAAGACAUUUAAAAGAAGAGAUACAUGCCACCCGAAGGGAGUUGAAUGAACUGUUUAAGGAUGAUUAAAAUUAUCUUCUUUUUUUCCACAAUUUCUCUUGAGAUUUAAUAUUCAAUUUUUAUAAAUCGGGUUAACCAAUAAAUUCGAAAAAUAAGUUG
ensembl:antisense_RNA anr-37 ncRNA